rnacentral:rRNA from 1 species
AACGAACGCUGGCGGCAGGCUUAACACAUGCAAGUCGAGCGCCCCGCAAGGGGAGCGGCAGACGGGUGAGUAACGCGUGGGAACGUGCCCUUUGGUUCGGAACAACUCCGGGAAACUGGAGCUAAUACCGGAUAAGCCCUUCGGGGGAAAGAUUUAUCGCCAAAGGAUCGGCCCGCGUCUGAUUAGCUAGUUGGUGAGGUAAUGGCUCACCAAGGCGACGAUCAGUAGCUGGUCUGAGAGGAUGAUCAGCCACACUGGGACGGAUACACGGCCCAGACUCCUACGGGAGGCAGCAGUGGGGAAUAUUGGACAAUGGGCGCAAGCCUGAUCCAGCCAUGCCGCGUGAGUGAUGAAGGCCUUAGGGUUGUAAAGCUCUUUUGUCCGGGAAGAUAAUGACUGUACCGGAAGAAUAAGCCCCGGCUAACUUCGUGCCAGCAGCCGCCGUAAAAC